rfam:Triticum aestivum genome assembly, contig: Triticum_aestivum_CS42_TGACv1_scaffold_641672_T_6BL-0.077336_5DL-0.070256
AUGAUACUCCCUUCGUUCUAAAAUUCUUGUCUUAGAUUUGUCUAGAUACAGAUGUAUUUAACACUAAAAUAUAACUAGAUACAUCCGUAUUUAAACAAAGAAAAUAAAAAUUUUGGGACGGAGGGAGUACUAC